rnacentral:lncRNA from 1 species
AUAGUUUUGAUGUUCCUGCACCAAAAUCACACAAGAUCACAUCUGAGAAUCAUUAGCACAAGACUUAGUACGUGACAGUCACUUAAAUGUCAGUUCCUUCUUCUUUCAUCUCUUUCCCUUAGGAAAAGGGAGACUCCACAGCAUUUUCCAAGAUACCUGCCCUACAGGCUUUUGGUACCAAAGUCAGCUCGGGCCCCCUGGGCCACCUGGUCACCUUACUGGAGGCUACAGAAUGACUUAUUUGGCCUGUGUCCACACACAGACCACCACGCACAAUGGGCAACAGGACAUGGGCUGAAACUUGAAUUGGCGUCAGGAAGGAAGCAUAUCCAUUGCAACCACAUGAAACUGAAAACAUGUGGGCAAGGCAACCAUGACAGCACCAGCAUGUUCUACCAACUCCCACCAAUGGGAUGCAAACAGUGCCCCUUUGUGCAGAGGUGACAGAAAUGAGGCUGGUAGCUCCUUCAGGGUGCUGUAAAGUGAGGUUGGAACUCAGAGCUAGAGAAGAAGAGGUGAGGCCCAGAAAAGUGGGAAGGAGGAGACAGAAAAGGCACGACUUGAAAGAGACUGCCAGCCUGGAGCUUGGUGUGACAGUUGGAGCUCCAGUAACUGUCUUGGGUGAUGAGUUACCCUGGGAUGGAAGUUGGCGCUGAGGAUGGCGUGUGCAGAUUGCAGUGUGGUUCUCUCUCCCACUCCGCCCUGGAUCUGCUGACAUGCCUCAUUUUCUCCUCGUCCUGCCAGCAGCUGUAUGUCCUUCCUCACGUCUAGCCACCGUGCCUUUCAGGAUGCCAGCUCUCUGUGCUACGGCUGUGCCUCUUCCCUGAAUUACUCAGGUCUAUGCUAAGUUUUGGGCUCUCGCAACUUCCCUGGAUUCUCCCCAGAAUGAGAGUACAAGCCCCGGUUUUCGGAUUCCCCAAUCAACAUGAGGGUUUUGCCACUCCGCAACGGGCUCAGUUCUGUAGCAGUGUCUGGAAUGACCAGCAUCUAAGCCUUCUUUCCUUCCUUUCUGGUCCUUACACUUCCUCCCCAACUUGUAGAAACUUUAUAGGUGGCAAAAGGUACAAGGAACAAGAUAACGUCUCUCUUUUGUUAUAUAUGACUCUAAAUUUCAAAACAUCUAUGACUUUUGAAACACAAAACUGUCAGAAUUAUUUCCCUUCUUCUCCCCAUCCUGUGAUAACAUCCUUUUUCUGAGAUAAUAAAAGCCGUUGGCCCAGGUUCCCAGAGUGGGGAAAGGGUUGGCAGCCAUAGGAAGUACUACCGGGCCAAAGCAUCAGUGUGUAUCUUGCAAUACCUUACCACAUUGAGAAAAGGGGGAGGAGACACUAGGAGAAGAGCUGAACAGCAUCAGAGCCAGAGAUGGAUCAGGUCAGUAUUGGCAAUGUAGUUAAGAGCAGUGUGAUGCUGCUGCUGAAAUAUCAGAGUCCUGUAUGUCUCCCCUGUCUCUCCUCAAAGUCCCAUGGGGGGGACCUCAUCACUCAUCAUGAGAGGAAGCUGCUCUCAAGCCCACCUUGCAGCAUGGAGGAAAGAAAGGAGCCCACAUCUGAGGAUGCCCAGCAUGGCCUGGGCCCUUGAACAACAGGGUCACAGCCAAGGAUUCUCACCCCUCCAAUGUGGCAGAGGGGCCCCACUCUGGGGAAGGUGGCCUGCUCAGGGUCACAGUGGGUGGAGCAGCUUUCAAGGCACCCAGCAUUUAAUAAUUGAUCCUGUCAAAAAUCAUCGAUGGGUGCUAAAACAAGUGGGCCUAAGUUUGCUGAGGAACAGGCAUUCAUAGCAUCUCCACAUAUGAUAUUCAAAGUCUCAAAGUCUCUUUCAAAGCCACCAAAUUUAACGUCACCAGUUAUGGGACAAAUUGACAUUGUGUGCCUUCUGAUAGGAUGCACUGAGAAAAACACAUCGCUUUUGUGACAUUUCUGGCCAAAAUGUCUAACCUGAAUCUAAUCACAAGGAAACAUCAGACAAACCCAAACUGAGGGACAGUCUACAACAGUAACUGGUCUGUAUUCCCGAAAAACAUCAAGGUCACGAAAAUCAAAGGGAAGGCUAAGGAGCCAUUUCCAGUGGAAAAAGACUGAAUAGAAGGGACACCCAAAAGCAACGUGGAUUUGAUCCUAGACCAGAGAGGAAAGGGUGUUUAUGACGGCCAUCUUUGAGGCAGGCAGCUGCAUCUGAAAGGGCCCCUCGAUUGGAUGGUUGCAUUUCUCUCCAUGUUAAUUUCCUGAUUUGGGUGAUUGUAUUAUCUUUAUGUAAGGACGCUUGUUCUUAGGAAAUAAAUGCUGAAAUAUUUAGGGAUGAAGGA